AUUAUACUUCCUCCGUCCUAAAAUUCUUGUCUUAAAUUUUUCUAGAUAUGGAUAUAUCAAAAUUCUUGUCUUAAAUUUGUCUAAAUACAUAUAUAUAUAUCAAUACAUCCGUAUUUAGACAAAUUUAAGACAAGAAUUUUGGGACGGAGGGAGUAUGAU
rfam:Triticum aestivum genome assembly, contig: Triticum_aestivum_CS42_TGACv1_scaffold_329920_4BS